rnacentral:lncRNA from 1 species
GAGAAAUUUAAAUAGAAUAUGUGGUGAAUCAGCCUUAUAUUUUCCUCCUUCCUUUCGGAUUGUCAAAAUAGUGAUGCGGUUAACAAUUUAAUGUCAAGCUAUAUAAAAUGUUUUAUUUUUUGCCUACAAAUGUGGUUUAUAUUUCUAUCAAAUGUCACAGUUUUCUCAUAAAAAGUAUCAUUUUAUUUAAUGAGCUUGUAAAUAUGAUUGAACUGCUAUUGAAAGAGAUUCUUCUAUAUAAAAAGUUGUGUGACCUUGGGAUGAUAUAUCACCUUUCAGGGCCUUGUGAAAAGUGGCUGUUUGGCUCAGUUGGUUCCAGUGGCCGCAUCUAGCAAGGGCUUUCUUUUUUUUUUUUUUUGAGACGAAGUCUCCCUCUCUCCCCCAGGCUGGAGGUCAGUGGCACGAUCUCGGCUCAUUGCAAGCUCUGCCUCCCAGGUUCAUGCCAUUCUCCUGUCUCAGCCUCCCAAGUAGCUGGGACUACAGGCACCCGUCACCAUGCCUGGCUAAUUUCUUGUAUUUUUAGUAGAGAUGGGGUUUCACCAUGUUAGCCAGGAUGGUCUCCAUCUCCUGACUUCAUGAUUUGCCUGCCUCGGCCUCCCAAAGUACUGGGAUUACAGGCGUGAGCCACCGCGCCCAGCCUAGCAAGGGCUUUCUGUGAUUCUGAGUAUAUAGAAAUCAAAAGCUAUUUUAGAUUUCCAUAAGGUUGAUCAAAACCAAAGGAUGUUUUCUUUAAAAUAUAUGAAUUUACUUUGAAAAAGAAUGCUCAUUGUAGUACAUUAUGGAUAAAUGCAAAUUCUACAUUUGUUUACCUGGUUCUUUAUCCAGUCAUAAGGAAAAAAAGACAAUUUGUCAGCAAUGUUUAAAUGUAUGUGUCUUGGAUCAAUUUAAAUGCUAUAGAUACUCUGGUUUUACAGUCAUAUUCUAGAGCAAAGUAAACACUUGGAAGAUGGCUAUGGCAUGGGAUAAUUCCCUUUUUGUAAAACCAGUUUUUACAUCAAACUGUUUUACAUCAAACUGUCUCCGUCUCAUCAGAGAAGUAUCAAAAGAGAUAGAAAUUAUUUUAAAUAAUGAACUAACUGGAAAUUCUGAUGUCGAAAUGCACAGUCACUGAAAUGAAAAAUUCACUAGACAGGCUUAACAGCAGAAUCAAACUGGCAGAAGUAAUCAGCAAACUUGAAUAUCGACUUCAUAAAGUUUACGUAAACUUGAUCAAGACUAGGCAAUCUGAAACACAGAGGGCAAAGAAGAAUGAAGAAAAAUAAGCAGAGCCUCAGAGAACUGCACCAACAUAUACAUAAUGGUAGUGCCAGAAAGAGAGGAGAGAAAAGAGCAGAGAAAAUAUCCAAAGAAAUAAUGACCAAAAAUUCCCCCAAUUUGAUAAAAAGCAUCAAUCUAUACACCCAAGAUCAAGGAACUCCAAGCAGGAUGAGCACAAAGUGAUCCAUACCUAGAAACAGCAUAGGAAAAGUGCUGAAAAACAAGAGAGAAAACAUUGAAUGCAGCAAGAGUAGAACAACUCAUCAUGUAUAAGGAAAUCCCCGAUAAGAUUAACAGCUGACUAAUCUUCAGAAUUGAUUAGUGGAAGACAGAAAGUAAUGGUAUUAAAUAUUCCAAGUGCUGAAAGAGAGCUGUCAAACAAGAUCUUAUAUUCAACAAAACUUUCAGAAAUGAACAUGAAGCAAAAUAUUCCUAGAAACAAAAACAUAAUUUUUGUGAGCAGACCCACCAUGUGAGAAAUACUAAAGGAAGUCAUUCACACUGAAAGUAAGUAAUCAUACAUGGUAAUUUGAAUCCACUCACAAAAAAACAAAAAGCACUGGUAAAGAUAAUUAUGUAAUUAGAAAAGACAGUAUACAUGCAUAUUUCUUUUCCUUUUCUUAAAUUAUGGAAAUAACUUGCAUAAAAUAUAUAUGCAUAAUUGUAUUCAGUCUACAACAAAUAAAUAUGUAAUUUGAUAAUAAAAACAAAGGAAGUGGGUAGGAGCAAAGCUGCCAUGGAAUAAUGAAAUGAUGUCAGAUAGUAACUUGAAUCCUCAGGGGAAAAAAGUGGACCUAAAAUGGUAAGUAAGAAGACUAUUAUAACAAACUCUAUAAAUAUACUUGCUUUGCUUUUAUCCCUAAGUCUCCUUAGUAAAUAUAAAAUUUUAUAAAGUAAAAUUAUAAGAAUUUAUUUUGGUUUUGGUUUUAUAACAUGCAUAGAUGUUUAUAUGUAUAACAGUAUCAAAAGAGGAAAGAGGGUAGAGAGCUAUGUAGAAGUUACAUUUCUGUAUCUCACUGAAAUUAAGUUAGUAUAAAUUUGAAGUAGAUUGUGAUAAACUAUGAUAAGUAUAGUAAGUCUUAGAGAAACCAAUAAGGAAAUCACUUAAAAAUAUAUUGUGAGGUCAGGUGUGGUAGCUCCUCUAACCCUUUGAGAGGCUAAGGCAAGACGGUGAAUUGAGGCCAGGAGUUUGAGAAAAACUCGGGCAAUAACAAGUCCCCAUUUUCUACAAAAAAAAAAAA